rnacentral:rRNA from 1 species
ACGCUCGACACCUACAGGAGGCAGCAGUGGGGAAUAUUGCACAAUGGGGGAAACCCUGAUGCAGCGACGCCGCGUGGAGGAAGAAGGUCUUCGGUAUUGUAAACUCCUGUUGUUGGGGAAAAAGAGGAUGGUACCCAACAAGGAAGUGACGGCUAACUACGUGCCAGCAGCUGCGGUAAUCUGAGCGGGCUGGCAAGGC